rnacentral:rRNA from 1 species
CCUACGGGAGGCAGCAGUGGGGAAUAUUGGACAAUGGGGGAAACCCUGAUCCAGCGACGCCGCGUGUGUGAAGAAGGCCUGCGGGUUGUAAAGCACUUUUAGUGGGGAGAAAAAGCUACGGGCUAAUACCCGUGUGGUCUUGAUUUAACCCAAAGAAAAAGCACCGGCUAACUCUGUGCCAGCAGCCGCGGUAAUACAGAGGGUGCAAGCGUUAAUCGGAAUUACUGGGCGUAAAGCGUGCGUAGACGGUCAUUUAAGUCGGGUGUGAAAUCCCCGGGCUCAACCUGGGAAUUGCAUUCGAUACUGGAUGGCUAGGGUGCGGAAGAGGGAAGCGGAAUUUCCGGUGUAGCGGUGAAAUGCGUAGAUAUCGGAAGGAACACCAGUGGCGAAAGCGGCUUCCUGGUCCAGCACCGACGUUCAGGCACGAAAGCGUGGGGAGCAAACAGGAUUAGAUACCCUGGUAGUCCACGCCAUAAACGAUGAGAACUAGACGUUGGGAGGGUCAGCCUCUCAGUGUCGCAGCUAACGCGCUAAGUUCUCCGCCUGGGGAGUACGGCCGCAAGGUUGAAACUCAAAUGAAUUGACGG